CAAUACCCACACAUGCCUUUUGGAUUUCAUUGUCCACAAACGCCACCCAUUUGGAGGAUUCAGCACAAUAAGGUUUCUCUGCGAACUCGAUUUCAAGUGGAGUACCUACAUGGAUAUAUAGAUAUUUUCCAAAAACAAAGACAUUCAAUUAAUUAAAGGGCUCAACAUACUACUAGAAAAUAUUAACAUUAAAAUUAGUCACAAACAAUUUUCUUUAAAAAAAUUGUCAAUACAACUUGACGACCUCAAAAUUAGCAAGGAAAAACUAUAUUCUAUCACUAAAUUUAGUUUUUUUUAAUAAAAAAAAAUCACUAAAUUUAGUUACCACUUGGUUGGUAGUUGAGAAGGAGGAUUUAAGGAAAGAAGAUAUGGUGAGUUCGAAUAUUUCCACUAAUAUUUUAACAAAAACUAGUAAUUAACAUUAAUUAAUUAAUAAAAAAAAUUAGCUACCCGUUCAUUAUUUUUUAGUAGUGGUGAAAAAAAUGAUAAAAAAAAUUAAUUAGUAAGACAUUUUCAAACAUAUCCGUUAUAUUUCCCUCUUUUUUUUUUUUUUUUUUAUAAAUUGAAUGUAUCUUAAAAAGAAUGUUAGCUAAGCUGACAAUUUGGGUUGUCAUGUGUUUAUGAUCCUAAUUAAUUAAUCUCCACAAGGCUAUUAAGAGCAUGAUUGGUUUGCCUAUGUAUUGUUUGUUUAUUUAUUUUGAUUUUGUAUUGAAAUACGUGUCACAUACAAUAUUUUCAUAGCACAUCAAACACGUAUUAUUAAGUUGUUCAACUUACAAGAAAAAGCUAAUUAAUACAAGUUAUACAACUUAGCUAUAUAUGUGUUACCCGGAGAUUGAUUGAUAUAAUAGGCCUAUAAUAGUGUCAAACUAUAUGCAUCAAUUUCUGGUUAGAGACAUAUGAUGAUGAUGAGUACCUGUAAAGAUGAUUCCAGGGCUUAUCCCAGGUAUGCUGAAUUUGACUGGUGUGCCACGGAAGAUUUCUGAGUAAUCUUGCAAAACAGUAACUGGGCAGUUUGAGUUUCCUGUCCGGCCUAGUUUCAAUCCACCACCGGCAGC
rnacentral:lncRNA from 1 species